UCCGUAGGUGGAUAAUUUAGUCAGAGGUGAAAUCCUGCAGCUCAACUGUAGAAUUGCCUUUGAUACUGGUUAUCUUGAGUUAUUAUGAAGUAGUUAGAAUAUGUAGUGUAGCGGUGAAAUGCAUAGAUAUUACAUAGAAUACCAAUUGCGAAGGCAGAUUACUAAUAAUGAACUGACACUGAUGGACGAAAGCGUGGGGAGCGAACAGGAUUAGAUACCCUGGUAGUCC
rnacentral:rRNA from 1 species